rnacentral:tRNA from 2 species
CUGGUAGUUCAGCUGGUUAGAACGCUAGCCUGUCACGCUAGAGGUCGUGGGUUCGAUCCCCAUCC